CCAACAACUGGCAAUCCCACUACCAACUCUGAACUUGAGUUCAAACAUCUAGAAAAAUAGAGAAAUGAAAAUAAUCUCUGAAGACCAGCCAUUGGUGAAUUUGCUGCAGUACUGCUUCUGAUUACCAGUAGAUCUGAAAGACUGGUACACAUACACUCAUACAGCAGGUUGCGAUGGAAUGGGAAGUUCUUCAUUAUUUCCAACUUUGGAGAUUCCAGCUCCUGAUCGGUUGGUCCCGCUGCUUUGGAUCUGUGACGAGGUAGCACAUGGUGCCAGGAACACAGAGUGAAACAAAACUGCUCCUCUCAUGGUGAGGAAGAGAACAAAAGAGAAACAAGGAAGAGGCCAGAGUCCCAAAACUCCCUUAACGGCACAUACCCAGUGAACUAAGACUCUCCAACAAGGCCUCAUCUAAAGGCAUCACCACCUCCCAGUGUGCUAACCCCGGAUGAAAACACAUGGACAUUCAGGGGACAUUUAAGAUUCAAACUAUAGCAGUGACAAUUUGAUUGAAAGUCAGCCACAAAGAAGAAUAACAUCCUGUCAUUUGAGGCAAAAUGCAUGCAUUUGGAGGACAUCUUGUUAAGUGAAAUAGGCCAGCCACAAAAAGGCAAAUUCUCUGUCUAUGUGGAAGCUAAAUAAAAGUUCAACUGAACAUAGAAUAGUGUUUAGUGAGAUUGGGAAGAGUGUGUGUGUGUAAGAAUAGUGUAUACCAUAUGCAUUUAUGGAAAUAUCAUU